rnacentral:rRNA from 1 species
CAGCUUAACCGUUAACUGUUACAAAUUCCCCUAACGCAUCAAAACCCAACCCCACAACUGAAUGAUUCUAUAACACACAUAGAAAACUGUAUGCUAGAACUAGUAAUAAGAAGAAGACCUUCUCCAAAAUAUACGUGUGAGCCAGAACGAACACCCCCCCGGCAUAUAACGCAACUGAACCAAUAGUAGCAACUACACAAGAAAACCCUACCAAAACACGCGUCAACCUUACACCAGCAUAUUCCAGGAAAGAUUAAAAGAAGGGGAAGGAACUCGGCAAAUCUUAACCCCGCCUGUUUACCAAAAACAUCGCCUUUUGAAAAAAUAUAAAAGGUCCAGCCUGCCCAGUGACCAGAUUAAACGGCCGCGGUACCCUAACCGUGCAAAGGUAGCACAAUCACUUGUUCUUUAAAUAAGGACUAGUAUGAAUGGCAUCACGAGGGUUAAACUGUCUCCCCCUUCCAAUCAAUGAAACUGACCCCCCCGUGAAGAGGCGGGGAUAAUAAUAUAAGACGAGAAGACCCCAUGGAGCUUAAAACUUAACACCAACUGCCUAACUACACCCCACUUCAAACCGGGCAGACUCUGGUUUCUAGUUUUCGGUUGGGGCGACCGCGGAGUAAAACAAAACCUCCACGAUGAAUGUACCAACUUUCCUAAUCACAGAGCAACAGCUCGAAGAAUCAAAAAAUUGACACACUUGACCCAAUUAAUUUUGAUCAACGAACCAAGUUACCCUGGGGAUAACAGCGCAAUCCACUUCAAGAGCCCCUAUCGACAAGUGGGUUUACGACCUCGAUGUUGGAUCAGGGUAUCCCAGUGGUGCAACCGCUACUAACGGUUCGUUUGUUCAACGAUUAAAA